GCUCUUGAGUUUAAUCUUAUGUAAAGUAUGAUUUAUCCUUCUUGAUUUGUUCUUCUCUCCCAUUCGAUAAAUCUGAAUUUUGUAUUUUGUUUUUCAAUGGAUCUAAAUGCAUUGAAUUUAACGCUUCAUGACCAUGUCCAUGGAUUCUACAUUUCAUCAACAAUGAGUCGUGAUAGUUUUGUGAAGAAUAAAAAGAAGAAGGAUGAACUCUCAGUGAAGCUUUCAAUCUCACAUGCUCCCAAAAUGGAUGAAUGGAUGAAUCUUUAAGCUCCAAUUUUCUUCCAAUGCAUCAUACAAAAUUUGGUCUGAUGUAUGCUUUUCGUUCAUUUCCAUUCAUCUUCUCUUCCAGUGUUUUUAUUUUCUUUCUCUUUCGUUUUCUCCAAAUUUUCUUCCAUUAAUCUCUAUUUUCAUGUUUUUUCUUGCAAGAACUGUUGUAUAUGCACAUCAUCUAUUUGAUAAAAUGUUGUAGAGGAUUCUAACUAUCAUUAUCAUGCCUUAUGAUUUUUGUCUUAUGGAAGGAUUGCUGGAAGUAUAACACAAUUUUAUGAUCAAUAGUAUAUCUUCAAAUCAUGAAGAACCAUGACAACUACUUCAGCAAAAAUAUUUCAAGUCCUUACUACUUCUUGGACAAGGAAAGACUAUUGGGAAGAGCUCAAGAAGUUGCUAGAGAGUAAGCCAUGAAUAUCUCAAAAGCAGAUGAUUAUUAUUCUCAAUCAAGCCACCUAUAUUAUUAAUUUGUGGCAACAUAUUGGUGGUAAUUUGCCUUCUAAAACUCACAUCUAGAAUAUUUCAAACAGACAAGUACCAAAUUCUUUUAGAUGAGUGAUUAGUUUUUGAUUAGUUUUUGAGUAUAGGAAUAUAUUAUAGAAAUUAAUGGUAAUUCCCAUUUUUAUAAUUGUAUCAAAAAUAAACUUCUUCUUAUAUGAACAAUAGUGAUUGUGUUUUUGCAUUUUCAAAUGUUAAUGUUAGAACUCUUGAAAAA